CCUACGUGUGGCAGCAGUGAGGAAUAUUGGUCAAUGGGCGCGAGCCUGAACCAGCCAAGUCGCGUGAGGGAAGACGGCCCUACGGGUUGUAAACCUCUUUUGCCGGGGAGCAACGGGCGCCACGUGUGGCGCCACUGAGAGUACCCGGAGAAAAAGCAACGGCUAACUCCGUGCCAGCAGCCGCGGUAAUACGGGGGAUGCGAGCGUUAUCCGGUUUUAUUGGGUUAACAGGGUGCGUAGGCGGAGCGUUAAGUCAGUGGUAAAAUUGAGGGGCUCAACCCCUUGCCGCCAUUGAAACUGGCGCCCUUGAGUGGAGGAGAGGUAUGCGGAAUGCGUGGUGUAGCGGUGAAAUGCAUAGAUAUCACGCAGAACCCCGAUUGCGAAGGCAGCAUGCCGGCUUCCGACUGACGCUGAAGCACGAAAGCGUGGGGAUUGAACAGGAUUAGAUACCCCAGUAGUC
rnacentral:rRNA from 1 species